rnacentral:rRNA from 1 species
GAAGGGUGCAAGCGUUACUCGGAAUUACUGGGCGUAAAGCGUGCGUAGGUGGUUAUUUAAGUCCGUUGUGAAAGCCCUGGGCUCAACCUGGGAACUGCAGUGGAUACUGGAUGACUAGAAUGUGGUAGAGGGUAGCGGAAUUCCUGGUGUAGCAGUGAAAUGCGUAGAGAUCAGGAGGAACAUCCAUGGCGAAGGCAGCUACCUGGACCAACAUUGACACUGAGGCACGAAAGCGUGGGGAGCAAACAGGAUUAGAUACCCUGGUAGUCCACGCCCUAAACGAUGCGAACUGGAUGUUGGGUGCAAUUUGGCACGCAGUAUCGAAGCUAACGCGUUAAGUUCGCCGCCUGGGGAGUACGGUCGCAAGACUGAA